GAAUAUGCAACAUUCUCGGCAUUCAUCUCUUUCACAUAUUAGCCAUGUUCUCUUCCACUACAAGUGUGAAGUGCAUCGUGUGUGCUAGCAUGCUCUCUAGUGAAACAAAACAAAGACUAUCAAACUUCAACAGAGUCCUCACUAUGAGCCGUUAAUCAGAAUCAGGCUUAAACACUUCUUUACUAAAGAGUCAACUACAAUUUAGGGUCAUUAAAGAAUUCCUAUGCCUCUCCUAUUUUUUUUUCUAUUUUUUUUCUUUUUCUUGCUAAGUCUAAGGUUGGGACGCUUCUCAGUGUAAGUGAGUCACGACCGCCAUUCGACUUCGCUUAUUUUUUUUCUUUUUUUUUUUAAUCAAGUAUUUCUCCAGUAAUCAAGGGUUGUGAAAAGUCACCAAGAAAAUGCUUAUUCUAAUACAUUUGCACUUAAUACCAGCACAAGUACAUGGAUCGUCCUUUUCACAUGACAUUGCAUUUUACCCAUUGAUCUCAAAGGAGUACCCGAUAAUUUUUAUUCU
rnacentral:lncRNA from 1 species